GAGUAAGCCACAUGACAGAAGAGAGCUGGAACGCUUUACUGUCUCUGUAUUCUCAUCUUUUGGAACAGAAUGGAGGAUUACCAUGUGAUUUCUGUUACAAAAAGGGAUAAUAAAGUAAAUAUUUUCAGAUGCUACAUUCUACACCUUGUGUUUUAACCUUGCUCCAUGGAUGUGCUAACUAUUCAUAUCCUGGAGGACUCAUCUGACAGUGCAGUGUUUUGGGUCCAGGUUCAGUGUGCUGAUCCUUUCCUGCUAAACUACUGGCUCCAGAAGACCUUCUUCAACAAUGGGGAAGUCCAACAGAUCAACACCCUGAGGAUAAACGGCUGUCGUGGGCUAUUGUUUGUUUUGAGGGUGCUGCAUCGUUCUUCACGCCUCCCUAAUUCCCAUUAUUGGUGCCCUUUCCUAGUGACACUCUGCCUCGAUGCCCUGGCUUUUCACUACCACCUCCCCUCUGUGCCCCAGUGGAACGGCACCCUUCGAGAGGCGAUGAGAGGAAACAGCCUGGAGCUCAGGCGCUGAGAGACUAUGAGAUUUUGCUGCUUACAUUCCUAUUAGUUUCAGAUGUUCGCUUACUAAAGUGAUGCACUGCAAGUAGUACAUCUUACCAUUGUA